CUUAAAUCGUUUUUGACAUUACCGUAACCCAGCUGCCAUGGUUGUGUGACCAAUGAGAUGCAGUUGGCAAAUGUUUCUGCCGAUAGUCUCAGCCUGAGCUGGAGGAGAAUAGCUGUCAGUCAGAGGCCCUGGAGAAGCAGCACGCUGCGGUUCAGAAGACACUGGACCAGCUGGCGGCCGCCAUCAGCGACCUUUUAGGCGACGUGAUGCGAGAAGUUGUCGUCGUCAAUUCUGACAACAUUGUACACAAUAUCGGUAUCCUUGAGGAGAGAGUUGGUCACCUGCUGCUCCAGGCCAACAAUGCCAGCAACGAGAGGAUUAUGUUACUUCAGAACAUGCUUUUGGCCAACUUUGACUUGCUACCAGGAGAGGAGGAAGUCAUGGAAACGCCACGCAGCAGGUCUGCUUCACGUUCACCCAAGGAAACCCGAUAAGACAGAAGAUGGUGUCGUCUCAUCCUUCCUCCCUCCGCAGGGGUUCAACAGCCUCUCACACAGUCUAGGUGGCAAUAAACAACUCACGACGGCGUUACACACGUUUUCGUUUUUUUUUAGCACACAGAACAAAAACGCCGUCAUUGAGAAUUAAAUGAGA
ensembl:lncRNA